rnacentral:rRNA from 1 species
UACAGAGGGGGCAAGCGUUGUUCGGAAUUACUGGGCGUAAAGGGCGCGUAGGCGGCCUGCUAAGUCGAACGUGAAAUCCCUGGGCUCAACCCAGGAACUGCGUCCGAUACUGGUUGGCUUGAAUCCGGGAGAGGGAUGUGGAAUUCCUGGUGUAGCGGUGAAAUGCGCAGAUAUCAGGAGGAACACCGGUGGCGAAGGCGGAUCUCUGGGCCUUACCUGACGCUGAGGAGCGAAAGCGUGGGUAGCGAACAGG